rnacentral:rRNA from 1 species
ACUCCUGCGGGAGGCAGCAGUGGGGAAUAUUGGACAAUGGGCGCAAGCCUGAUCCAGCCAUGCCGCGUGAGUGAUGAAGGCCCUAGGGUUGUAAAGCUCUUUCACCGGUGAAGAUAAUGACGGUAACCGGAGAAGAAGCCCCGGCUAACUUCGUGCCAGCAGCCGCGGUAAUACGAAGGGGGCUAGCGUUGUUCGGAUUUACUGGGCGUAAAGCGCACGUAGGCGGACUAUUAAGUCAGGGGUGAAAUCCCGGGGCUCAACCCCGGAACUGCCUUUGAUACUGGUAGUCUUGAGUUCGAGAGAGGUGAGUGGAAUUCCGAGUGUAGAGGUAAAAUUCGUAGAUAUUCGGAGGAACACCAGUGGCGAAGGCGGCUCACUGGCUCGAUACUGACGCUGAGGUGCGAAAGCGUGGGGAGCAAACAGGAUUAGAAACCCCGGUAGUCCCAUG